rnacentral:rRNA from 1 species
UCAGACGAUGCGUCAUGCAUAUCAAUAAGCGGAGGAAAAGAAACUAACAAGGAUUCCCCUAGUAACGGCGAGUGAAGCGGGAAGAGCUCAAAUUUGAAAUCUUAAAGGGUUUCCCUUUACGAAUUGUAGUUUAAAGAAGUGUUUUCUGUUGAGGUUUUGGUAAAAGUUCUUUGGAAUAGGACAUCAUAGAGGGUGAGAAUCCCGUAUUUGACCUUUACUUUCAACUUUGUGAUACACUUUCAAAGAGUCGGAUUGUUUGGGAAUGCAGUCCAAAAUGGGUGGUAAAUUUCAUCUAAAGCUAAAUAUUGGCGAGAGACCGAUAGCGAACAAGUACCGUGAGGGAAAGAUGAAAAGAACUUUGAAAAGAGAGUUAAACAGUACGUGAAAUUGUCAAAAGGGAAGCGUUUGGACACCAGUGUUGUUUUUCUGAAAAUCAAUUAAAGAACUGUUUAUGCUAAGUUGUUUAGACUUUAUCAGCUAUCUGUUUAGUUUUGAGCUUUUCUUUAAUGCACUUUUCAGUUAACAAGUCAACAUCAAUUUCUUUUGCUGUAAAAAAGCUUGAGGAAGGUGGCUUGAGAUACGUCUUAAGUGUUUAUAGCCUCUUGCCUAUGCAGUCGGAGAGAUUGAGGUCUGCAGCGUAGAUCCUUCGGGGCUAAAUGCAUUUGUGCUAAGUUAUAGCAUUUUAUAGACAACUUGUUGACUAUGAUUUGUCUUGUAGCUUACUCGCUUAUGUUAUUUUACCUACGCUUAGGAUGUUGAGCGCAUGUCUCUCUCU